rnacentral:rRNA from 1 species
AUUGAACGCCGGCGGCAUGCCUUACACAUGCAAGUCGAACGGCAGCACGGGAGCAAUCCUGGUGGCGAGUGGCGAACGGGUGAGUAAAGUAUCGGAACGUGCCCAGUCGUGGGGGAUAACGUAGCGAAAGUUACGCUAAUACCGCAUACGAUCUAUGGAUGAAAGCGGGGGAUCGCAAGACCUCGCGCGAUUGGAGCGGCCGAUAUCAGAUUAGGUAGUUGGUGGGGUAAAGGCCCACCAAGCCGACGAACUGUAGCUGGUCUGAGAGGACGACCAGCCACACUGGGACUGAGACACGGCCCAGACUCCUACGGGAGGCAGCAGUGGGGAAUUUUGGACAAUGGGCGAAAGCCUGAUCCAGCCAUGCCGCGUGCAGGAUGAAGGCCUUCGGGUUGUAAACUGCUUUUGUACGGAACGAAAAGGAUUGCCCUAAUACGGUGGUCCCAUGACGGUACCGUAAGAAUAAGCACCGGCUAACUACGUGCCAGCCGCCGCCGUAACAC